GCCCGCGUAGCUCAGCGGAACCAGAGCAGCCGUCUUCUAAACGGCAGGCCGCAGGUUCGAAUCCUGCCGCGGGCGCCA
rnacentral:tRNA from 1 species